UACGUAGGUGGCAAGCGUUGUCCGGAAUUAUUGGGCGUAAAGCGCGCGCAGGCGGUUUCUUAAGUCUGAUGUGAAAGCCCCCGGCUCAACCGGGGAGGGUCAUUGGAAACUGGGGAACUUGAGUGCAGAAGAGGAGAGUGGAAUUCCACGUGUAGCGGUGAAAUGCGUAGAGAUGUGGAGGAACACCAGUGGCGAAGGCGACUCUCUGGUCUGUAACUGACGCUGAGGCGCGAAAGCGUGGGGAGCGAACAGG
rnacentral:rRNA from 2 species